CACAUGGGUCUUAAGCUGUUGAUUGCUGCCUUCUAGUGACAAACCAAACCAUUGUGCACACCAUUGUUUAUCCUGCACCACUCAUACACCCUAACCUACACCACUCAUACUUUCACCAAUUCUCCCAUACCAACACUUCCCUUUCUUCAUCAACGCUAAACCAGCCCAACAACCUCACUCCAACUCCUUACACCAACGCAGCCACCUUCCUACCACCACCAACACUACCAACACCACACCACCACAGACAACAGAGCGCAGCCAUCAAUUCACACCAUCAGCAAUCAAACGCAACAACCAGGGCCAAAAUAGCCCAAAAUAGCAGUCACAAAACAAAGUAAAAACAGAGUACUGAAGUUUGGUCGAACCGUAUUCAAGUUCGACCGAACCCGAAUUUUUAAGUUCCUGACAAGGCCGGGUCCGGCCGAACCCACUGUGUGUUCGCCCAAACUAGAAACGGGUUCGUCCGAACCUCCAUUAAAGUUCGACCGAACAUUUCACCGCUCAAAUUGGGUGUACGGAUCGAAUUAAUGAAGUCACGUGGCUCGUGGUUGUUGGCCGCUCGAUUUUCCACCGUACAAUCUCGAUUAACGGUUGUGGUAGAGGGUGAUUGAUGAACGACGAUGAUUGUGGGUGAUGAUUGAUGGUCGUUGUUGAAUUGGACGAGGAUGAUGCGUCGUUGAUGGCUGAUGAUGAUGGAAAAUUGACGGUCUGAUCGAUGGGGAUUGACCAAGAUCGAUGCCGAAGAUGGUUGAUGAUGAUGGUCGUUGAUGAUGGCCGUUGUUGUGUGAAGCGGAGGGGAUUAACCCAUUUUUGAGAGCAGCGAAAUGCGGAGCAGGGGAGCAUCAUUGGAGACGAAGAAAUAAGGCUUUGGGCCUUUGAGCGUUUGCCGUUUUUUGUUCCUCGGUCCGGCAGAAUGGACGGGGGUUACCCCGUGGCUAACUAUUGGGGUGGUGCCUGGAACUUGAAGAAAUGGCCCACGAUGACGAGAUUCAGGGAUAUGAUCAUGACUGCGCACCCUAACGUGGUGGGUUGGUCUUGUUGGGAACGGCUGGGCGAGACGGAGGAGUUGGCGGAGGUUCGACGACAGACCCAAUGGGUCGGAUUCUGUACCAGGGCCUUAGAGGUCCAUCCUAGUUUUUAGGAGAGCUGGUCCUUUGGCAGACGACGGGUCUUGUGCGGGUGCCUCGCCCGCCGCCUACUAGCAUGUUGCGCCACACGAGCAUUCUUCCCAGUCGUCGGGCGGUGCUGCGAGAGGUGUGCCUGGAGGACAGCUGGCGAUGGUUGAUGCCAACUAUUCAGAUUUUGUUCGUGACCGGAUCUUGAUUCCCCCGGUGAUUGAGGUGCGUGUAUUCUUAGAUUGUGUUGAUAUGCACUUGUUUUCUUUUUCUUACUGUGUUUGACUAAUAGUUUAUCUGUGUUGCAUCCUGAGCCUACUGUUCAUGACGGUUCGGUGCCACCUGACUGUGUGACGGGAGGAUGGUUCUAGGAUGACGGAGGAGGUGCCUGCCGUCCCUGAUGAGGAGGGGAUUCACCCACUAGUUCAUGCGAAUGUUCGUGUGGCACCUGUUAGCAUAGUUAACUAGGUAGUCAGGGUGGUUAUCCGGCUGUAGGCCACGUUGUCCACGACUCGUGCAACUCUUUCUUGCCGCAAUCAAGGUUCGAUUCAGACUAGAGCGCCACAGGCUCGUGCACAGGAGACGGUACGGACUGCUCGGAGAGACCGACACUCUUUUGAGGGUGACCGUACCUCUGGGUCGCAUGCGAGGCCCCGUGUUUCAGAUGUCGGGUUAGGACAGAGGCCUAUGCGGUCGAAGACUGAGGCCAGGAGGAGCUAUACUGGUCUGUUCGGAGAGCCGACGUCGCAGAUGGGUUGACAGGCUCCCGCAUUUCAGCCAUUCCAGGCCGGUUGGCAGCCUCAACCAUUUUAGCAACCUUUUAGCACCGGGUGGGUGCCUGCGCCGCAGACGCAGAGUUGGGGAUCUUCUUAGCUCGAUGCCUUGAUUGGUGAACUACAUGACUCGUAGGGUGCGGGUACAAGUCGAGAUGCUCUAGAUGAGGAGGCGAUCCCAUCCCUCCGGGGUUUAGUAGGCCCCCUUAGUAGGCCAUGUAAAUGUAUUUGCUUAAACAUGUAGUAUUUUCCGUGUUGGUAUUUGUGCUUUAAGAAUUUGUACAUAAUUUUGAUUAUUUUACGUACUUAGCUUC